CCGGAGGCAGCAGUGGGGGAUAUUGCACAAUGGGGGGAACCCUGAUGCAGCGACGCCGCGUGGGUGAAGGAGUGCUUCGGCAUGUAAAGCCCUAUCGGCAGGGAAGAAGCAAGACGGUACCUGACUAAGAAGCCCCGGCUAACUACGUGCCAGUAGCCGCGGUAAUACGUAGGGGGCGAGCGUUAUCCGGAUUCACUGGGUGUAAAGGGAGCGUAGACGGCCAAGCAAGCCAGGGGUGAAAGCCCGGGGCCCAACCCCGGGACUGCCCUUGGAACUGCAUGGCUGGAGGGCGGGGGGGGCAGGCGGAAUUCCUGGGGUAGCGGUGAAAUGCGUAGAUAUCAGGAGGAACACCGGCGGCGAAGGCGGCCUGCUGGACCGCGACUGACGUUGAGGCUCGAAAGCGUGGGGAGCGAACAGGAUUAGAUACCCCUGUAGUC
rnacentral:rRNA from 1 species